rnacentral:rRNA from 1 species
UCGAGUGGCGCAUUUUUUGUGUUUGUCCUUGCGACCGUGGUGGCAGGCGGGAGUUUUGGCGUUGGCUGAACACUCCUGCAUGAUCUCCCCAACAGUGAUGUCCAUCUUGUACAAAGCGGGACUACCACCGUAUGAAGCCCCGUUUGCUCCCUCUUCUUUCUUGCCGCCGCGUCGGGCUUGGGGAUGAGACUGCCCCUCACCACCGGUGUUCCUCGGUAAUGGCCUACCAUUGCUGUGAUGGGUAGCCAUUCUGCUCUCCUGAUCAGCCUCCUGGAAUCAAUACACGGUACCGACUCCUACGUUGAGGCUCGGGAUUUCAAUUUUGCACUGAGGGCGCCGCCUGGACGCCUUUACCCCCGUGGAGGAAGACGGCCUUCGGGUUGUAAACUCCUGUCGCAGCUGCAGAAAGCCCGUUAGGCCGUGCUUCCUCUGACGUAACAGUCCCCCCCUUGCUGGCUGUCUUCACCCGCGACAAGAGUUUAGGAGCAAGCGGUGCUCUUAAUUACUGCGCGUAAAGGGUGUGCAGGCUUUCCGGUUUUGCCCAAAAUUCCUCCCGAGGCUCAACUUCGGAGUCUGGACCGUGCUGAUCGGCUUUGUGCUGGAUGAGGAGAGCGGAAUUCCCGGUGGACCGAUGAAAUGGUAGGCCAUUACCCAGGAACACUAGCAGGCAAGAGCCGCGCUCAUCACUAGUCCUGAUACUGAUGCAACUUCGCUAGACGUAGCUCACGGGAUUACAUGCCCCGGUAGACCUAGCUUGUAAACGAUUAACCCUGGAUGUUCGGGAGAUCAUGCACGAGUGUCUCAGCUGUUCGCCACUAUGUCCCGGGUUGCGAGCACGGAUCGCGUUCGCUGAGCUGUGUUGAAAUUGACCGCCAGCGUUCAUCUCUGAGCCAGG